UCAGCAGUCGGACCCACCCCGAUCAGCUACUUAUCCCGUGGAAAGGUGAUAAGUUAAUUUUCGCCAGAGUUCUCCUUUAUGAUGUUGGCAUCAAUUAACAUUAUUUGGGUAAAAAAAUAACUAGCAAAAGUUUGAGGUCAUUUGUACCUCCAUGUUUUGGUGAGAGAUAUCCAUCCCAACCACUCAGAUUCAAGUUCUCCCCUUUUCUGGAUAUAAUGACAUCCAUACAUUAGCCGGUUUACUGAUAAUGUCAUUUCUAUGACUUCUUCUUUUUCUUUUCCAUAGUAGAAAUCGCAGAAAGCUCCUGCAAAACAUGUCCUUCUGGAUGGGAACUGUUCAGAUCCAAUUGUUAUUACUUUUCAUCAAGUCAGGAAACAUGGGAAAGGAGCAAAGAGCUUUGUGCACGACGUAAUGGGAGCCUCGCUGUAAUAAAAGAUGAGUAUGAAAUGUCUUCUUUAUGGCCGACCAUAAACAAAGGAGCAUACUGGAUAGGACUGAGACGAGAUCCUAAAGACACUACCAUGUGGGUGUGGGCAGAUGGACCGCCACUGACAUACAGUGGCUGGAAUGAAGGCAAACCCAAUAGUGAUCAAGAUAAUGAAGAGUGUGCAGAAAUUAGAGGAGUUCAGCUGAAUGGCGUCCCAUGUCAAAACAAGCUGAACUACAUAUGUCAGGGUGUGUGGAGUUGUUGAAGGGGGGGCGGUUCUACUUUGGACUCCUCUUCAUAAACCAAUGAU